rnacentral:rRNA from 1 species
UACGUAGGGUGCAAGCGUUAAUCGGAAUUACUGGGCGUAAAGCGUGCGCAGGCGGUUUUGUAAGUCUGAUGUGAAAUCCCCGGGCUUAACCUGGGAAUUGCGUUGGAGACUGCAAGGCUGGAGUCUGGCAGAGGGGGGUAGAAUUCCACGUGUAGCAGUGAAAUGCGUAGAGAUGUGGAGGAACACCGAUGGCGAAGGCAGCCCCCUGGGUCAAGACUGACGCUCAUGCACGAAAGCGUGGGGAGCAAACAGG